CAAUGUCCAGAGAGUGAGAGAGUUUGGAGCAGCCAGUCAAACGUAAGAUGUCUUCAUCAAACCCCUCCCUUGAGCAGGGCUCAAGGAGCAGAAGAGGAAGAGGGAAGACUGUAAGAGCCAGAUGGGAUGGAUGACAGCGUCAGACACAGCAAAACUGCCACACAUAUGAACUCAGACUGCAGAAAGGAUGCUGAGGCAGGGAGAAGGCCCGCGUGGCUUGAAACUGU
rnacentral:lncRNA from 1 species